GUGGCGAACGGGUGAGUAACACGUGAGUAACCUGCCCUUAACUCUGGGAUAAGCCUGGGAAACUGGGUCUAAUACCGGAUAGGAGCGUCCACCGCAUGGUGGGUGUUGGAAAGAUUUAUCGGUUUUGGAUGGACUCGCGGCCUAUCAGCUUGUUGGUGAGGUAAUGGCUCACCAAGGCGACGACGGGUAGCCGGCCUGAGAGGGUGACCGGCCACACUGGGACUGAGACACGGCCCAGACUCCUACGGGAGGCAGCAGUGGGGAAUAUUGCACAAUGGGCGAAAGCCUGAUGCAGCGACGCCGCGUGAGGGAUGACGGCCUUCGGGUUGUAAACCUCUUUCAGUAGGGAAGAAGCGAAAGUGACGGUACCUGCAGAAGAAGCACCGGCUAACUACGUGCCAGCAGCCGCGGUAAUACGUAGGGUGCGAGCGUUAUCCGGAAUUAUUGGGCGUAAAGAGCUCGUAGGCGGUUUGUCGCGUCUGUCGUGAAAGUCCGGGGCUUAACCCCGGAUCUGCGGUGGGUACGGGCAGACUAGAGUGCAGUAGGGGAGACUGGAAUUCCUGGUGUAGCGGUGGAAUGCGCAGAUAUCAGGAGGAACACCGAUGGCGAAGGCAGGUCUCUGGGCUGUAACUGACGCUGAGGAGCGAAAGCAUGGGGAGCGAACAGGAUUAGAUACCCUGGUAGUCCAUGCCGUAAACGUUGGGCACUAGGUGUGGGGACCAUUCCACGGGUUUCCGCGGCCGCAGCUAACGCAUUAAGUGCCCCGCCUGGGGGAGUACGGCCGCAAGGCUAAAACUCAAAGGGAAUUGACGGGGGGCCCGCACAA
rnacentral:rRNA from 1 species